ACAAAGCCUCAACCGCGAAACUAAUAGUUAAAAAAAAUACAAAUAUUAAAUUGUUGACAUAAAUAUAACACACAUACCGUAGAGUUAAGAGGAGGUGUGAAGGCGACUUAGGUGUGCUUGAGGGUUUGGGUUUGAUUUAUUUUUCGUGCGAGUGAGGCGAACAUAGUUAUUAACGGUCCCCGGGAGGACGUCACGGGCGAGCAACCGCUUUGGGGAGAGGGAGGAAAGGGGGGAGGGAGCAGCGAGAGAGAGAGAGAGAGAGGAGCAGAGGAGAUACCGGCAUAGGACGUGAAAAGCCAUCCAGCCGUUGGACGGGUGAGACGUUACAUGAAAAUAAGCAAGAACCACACCUCCAGAUUUUGGUGGACCGAAAGAAAGACAGAAAAAAAGAAAAAGAAGGAGAAAAAUCAAAACACAAACCGAGUGUCUAAUAUCUGUACACCCCCGACGAGGAGGAGGAGGAGAGGGAGGCAGGGCACAAAGAAGAAGCGGAGAGAGCAUCCAGAGAAGAGGGGAGAGAAGAGGAAGGAGGACGGGACGGAGAGAGCGCGGGAUCCUGCACGCUGUUUAUCCACCGAAAGGGAUACCUGCUCCUGAUCUGUUUGCCACUCAGCCCCUUCUGCAGUACCCAGUCGUCCUCUCCACUCUGUCCCGAUGAAGGAGGCCGACGCCAUCAAGUUGUUCGUGGGGCAGAUUCCCCGGAAUCUGGAAGAGAAGGACCUCAAGCCUAUCUUCGAGCAGUUUGGCAAGAUCUAUGAGCUAACUGUGAUUAAGGACAAAUACACUGGCAUGCACAAAGGAUGUGCGUUUCUGACGUACUGUGCGAGAGAGUCGGCACUGAAAGCCCAGAGCGCUCUACACGAGCAGAAAACACUACCAGGGAUGAAUCGGCCAAUCCAGGUGAAACCAGCUGACAGCGAGGGCAGAGGAGAGGACAGGAAGUUGUUUGUGGGCAUGCUGGGAAAGCAACAGAGCGAUGAGGACGUCAGAAGGCUGUUUGAGCCCUUUGGCAGCAUAGACGAGUGUACUGUGUUGAGAGGACCCGACGGCACCAGCAAAGGGUGCGCUUUUGUAAAAUUCCAAGGACACGCCGAAGCCCAGGCUGCCAUCAACAGCUUGCACGGGAGCCGCACAAUGCCUGGAGCAUCCUCCAGUCUGGUGGUGAAGUUUGCCGACACAGAGAAGGAGCGGGGGCUGAGGAGGAUGCAGCAGGUGGCCUCCCAGCUCGGCAUCUUCAGCCCCAUGACCCUCAACUUCCCCGCCUACAAUGCCUACACACAGGCGGUCAACGCACAGCUUGUCCAACAGCAGGCCCUGGUUGCCCAGUCAGCGUACUUGUCUCCUGUGGCAACAGUUGCUGCCGUACAGAUGCAGCAGAUGGCGGCGCUCAGUGCCAACGGAAUCAUCGCCACACCCAUUACACCCAUCACGCCGUCCUCGGGUACAAACACUCCUCCAACUAUUGCAGCAACGCCUGUGCCAGCUCUCCCUCCACCAAUGGGAGUGAACGGUUACAGCAGUCUGCCAGCCCCCACCAAUGGACAACAAGCAACAGAAGCACUAUACACCAAUGGCGUUCACCCAUAUCAAGCUCAGAGUCCAGCAGCCUUGGACCCCUUACAGCAGGCGUACGCAGGCAUGCAACACUACACAGCGGCGUACCCUGCUGCCUACGGAUUGGUCGGGCAGCCGUUCCCCCAGCAGCCAACACUGGUUGCCCAGCAACACCAGCAGCCCCAGCAACAGCAGCAGAGAGAAGGUCCAGAGGGCUGUAACAUCUUCAUCUACCACCUGCCUCAGGAGUUCAGCGACUCUGAGAUGCUGCAGAUGUUCCUGCCCUUUGGCAAUGUCAUCUCGGCUAAGGUGUUUGUUGACCGUGCCACCAACCAGAGCAAAUGCUUCGGAUUUGUGAGUUUUGACAACCCAGCCAGUGCUCAGGCCGCCAUCCAGGCCAUGAAUGGCUUCCAGAUCGGCAUGAAAAGACUGAAAGUGCAGCUCAAAAGGCCCAAAGAUGCCAACCGCCCAUACUGAGUGACAACUGAGAGGAGGAAGAAGAAAGAAAGAGAGAUCCUUCCGUCCAAUCAUAAUUCACGAGGACCCCAUCGCUAUGGCAAUGGUUGCCUAGUGACCGAUAAAGCCCUGACCCCCCCUUCCUCUCGCAUUGUUGUGACCUUUCAAGUGUCCAGACGAGGUGGAAUCCCAGGGUUCAUAGUGCUUUCAGACUGUCUGCUACCUUUGAGCGUCCGAGGAGUGCAGCCUCACACACACACGCACACAUACACACACACAUACACACACACACACAGACACACACACACACACACACACUUCUGCGUACACACAAAUACACAUGUACUCUCAACACUUGAACGUCAAACGGUACAAGGCUGAUAUACAAAUGUACAUAAACUGCACACACACACACACACCUGCCGACACUCACGCACACACACGGUUCACACAAGUCAGUAAUCUUACCCAUACAGACAAAAGCUUGGUUUGACCAACAGGGUGUUUAGUACAGUUAAGAUGACCAAGCAUGUAUGGAAGGUACUGAUGAAAAAUGCUGAUAUAUCACUUCAACAGACUUUAACGUGUCUAUACCAUGUCUAUCACAUGACAAAUAUAGAGGGUCCGAUGUUUCAUAAUAAAAAAAA